GAAAGUAACGAAGGGCGUACGGUGGAUGCCUAGGCUCUUACAGGCGAUGAAGGACGUGAUAAGCUGCGAAAAGCCGCGGUGAGGCGCAAAUGGCCCUUGACCCGCGGAUCUCCGAAUGGGACAACCCAAUAUCUUGAAGAGAUAUUAUCCCGCCGAUGCGGGAGGCGAACGCGGGGAACUGAAACAUCUUAGUACCCGCAGGAAAAGAAAAUAAAGAAUGAUUCCCCCAGUAGUGGCGAGCGACCGGGGAAGAGCCCAAACCGACGUUGUCUCGGCAUCGUCGGGGUUGUAGGACCGCGCCAUCGCAAGAAAGGCCGUGAGUGGAAGCGACUGGAAAGCCGCGCCAUAGAGGGUGACAGCCCCUUACACGAAGCAGCCUGAAGCGUAGCGGACUCCUGAGUAGCGCGGGACACGAGUAAUCCUGUGUGAAUCCGCCGGGCCCAUCCGGCAAGGCUAAAUACUCGUAAGAGACCGAUAGUGAACCAGUACCGUGAGGGAAAGGUGAAAAGGACCCCUUGCAGGGGAGUGAAAGAGUUCCUGAAACCGUACGCCUACAAGCGGUCGGAGCAUCGAAAUUGAUGUGACGGCGUGCCUUUUGCAUAAUGAACCUACGAGUUGCCGUCACCAGCGAGGUUAAGUGCGACGACGCACCGAGCCGCAGCGGAAGCGAGUCUUAAAAGGGCGCGAUAGUUGGUGGAGGCAGACGCGAAACCGAGUGAUCUACACUUGUCCAGGAUGAAGUCCCGGUAACACGGGAUGGAGGUCCGCACCAAUAAGCGUUGAAAAGCUUCUGGAUGAGGUGAGUGUAGGAGUGAAAGGCCAAUCAAACUCGGAGAUAGCUCGUACUCCCCGAAAGGCAUUUAGGUGCCGCCUGUGGCGUUCCCGACGUGAGGUAGAGCGACUGAUAGGAUGCGAGGGCUUCACCGCCUAUCAAGUCCUGACAAACUCCGAAUGCACGUCGGCCAAGCCAUGGAGUAAGGGCAUGGGUGCUAAGGUCCGUGCCCGAGAGGAGAAGAAUCCAGACCACCGGCCAAGGUCCCGAAAUACUGGUUAAGUUAGACUAACGCAGUCCGGCCCCCAAGACAGCUAGGAUGUUGGCUUGGAAGCAGCCAUUCAUUCAAAGAGUGCGUAACAGCUCACUAGUCGAGGAGCUGGGCGUGGAUAAUAAUCGGGUAUGAAACCAGUUACCGAAGCCGUGGGAUGCGUAAGCAUCGGUAGGGGAGCAUUGCAUGCGGCUUGGAAGGCGGGGCGCGAGCCCCUCUGGAGCGCAUGGAAACGCAAAUGUAGGUAUAAGUAACGACAAGGGGGGUGGGAUGCCCCCCCGCCGAAAGACCAAGGUUUCCUGAACAACGCUAAUCGGUUCAGGGUCAGUCGGGUCCUAAGCAUAAGCCGUAUGGCGAGGGCGAUGGAUGAAACGGUUAAUAUUCCGUUACUGUCUUGGUGUGUGACGCGGCGACGGAGUAGUGACACGGCCGCCUCCUGACGGAAAAGGGGGUUGAAGCGCAAAGGUGUCGAGGAAGGCAGGCAAAUCCACCUUCCGAGCCGAAGCGCGAUAGUACGCCGGGCCCUUUUGGGCAAGGCGAUAGUGCCGGUAAUCAGACUUCCAAGAAAACCCGCUAAACUUCAGCACCAAGUCACCCGUACUCCAAACGGACACACGUGGUCGGGUAGAAUAUACUAAGGCGCUUGGGAGAUUCACGGUUAAGGAACUAGGCAAAUUGACCCCGUACCUUCGGAAUAAGGGGUCCUCGCUUUUGCGAGGCGCAGAGAAUAGGUCCAGGCAACUGUUUAACAAAAACACAGGGCUGUGCCAAUUUGAAAGAAGAAGUAUACAGCCUGACACCUGCCCGGUGCCGGAAGGUUAAGAGGAGAGCUCAUCAGCGAUGAGAAGGCUUGAAUUGAAGCCCCGGUAAACGGCGGCCGUAACUAUAACGGUCCUAAGGUAGCGAAAUUCCUUGUCGGGU
rnacentral:rRNA from 1 species